UGGGGAAUAUUGGACAAUGGGCGAAAGCCUGAUCCAGCCAUGCCGCGUGUGUGAAGAAGGUCUUCGGAUUGUAAAGCACUUUAAGUUGGGAGGAAGGGCAGUAAGCGAAUACCUUGCUGUUUUGACGUUACCGACAGAAUAAGCACCGGCUAACUCUGUGCCAGCAGCCGCGGUAAUACAGAGGGUGCAAGCGUUAAUCGGAAUUACUGGGCGUAAAGCGCGCGUAGGUGGCUCGUUAAGUUGAAUGUGAAAGCCCCGGGCUCAACCUGGGAACUGCAUCCAAAACUGGCGAGCUAGAGUAGGGCAGAGGGUGGUGGAAUUUCCUGUGUAGCGGAGAAAUGCGUAGAUAUAGGAAGGAACACCAGUGGCGAAGGCGACCACCUGGGCUCAUACUGACACUGAGGUGCGAAAGCGUGGGGAGCAAACAGG
rnacentral:rRNA from 1 species